rnacentral:piRNA from 1 species
UGGCUUCCACCCAUUGUCAAAUCCACAGC